rnacentral:rRNA from 1 species
UGAGGUAAUGGCUCACCAAGGCGUCGACGGGUAGCCGGCCUGAGAGGGUGACCGGCCACACUGGGACUGAGACACGGCCCAGACUCCUACGGGAGGCAGCAGUGGGGAAUAUUGCACAAUGGGCGGAAGCCUGAUGCAGCAACGCCGCGUGAGGGAUGACGGCCUUCGGGUUGUAAACCUCUUUUAGCAGGGAAGAAGCGAGAGUGACGGUACCUGCAGAAAAAGCGCCGGCUAACUACGUGCCAGCAGCCGCGGUAAUACGUAGGGCGCAAGCGUUAUCCGGAAUUAUUGGGCGUAAAGAGCUCGUAGGCGGUUUGUCGCGUCUGCUGUGAAAUCCCGAGGCUCAACCUCGGGCCUGCAGUGGGUACGGGCAGACUAGAGUGCGGUAGGGGAGAUUGGAAUUCCUGGUGUAGCGGUGGAAUGCGCAGAUAUCAGGAGGAACACCGAUGGCGAAGGCAGAUCUCUGGGCCGUAACUGACGCUGAGGAGCGAAAGGGUGGGGAGCAAACAGGCUUAGAUACCCUGGUAGUCCACCCCGUAAACGUUGGGAACUAGUUG